CGGCAUCCCGACGCUUGGCGAUCGUUGCAGCGGCUGUACUAAUGCUGUGUGCUGCGCAAGUUGAGCUUGUCCAUGGAGGUAAUUUAGCAUGCCUAAUCACAUGUCUGUGAAUCUCCAUGCCUCCUUUGAACUCUCUGUUAUGUGAUCACGUUGCGCCUGCAGGUGGAAGGCCGUGGCGAAAACCUCCGGCUCCCAUAGCGAACGGGUUGAAAGGUAGUCGUGUCUGCAAUCCAGAUUAUUAUCCCUGCAAAGGCGACAACCCGUCACUGCGGCCGCCGAUUCCUUCUUCUCCUGCCGCAGCAGCAGAUGUACCUCCUCCUGGUCCUGGCAGCCCGACGUAAUACAGCUUUGCUAAUUCCUACUUUUGAGUUGCGCAGCAGGCCAGCCGCAGACAAUUCACCAUUUACUACCCAUGUUAAUUAGCUGAACAGACGACACAUGCUUGAUUACAGAAGAUGCUGCUCAGAGUUCACACGCCAAGACAAAAAAGAGGAAUUUUAUGGUUAUAGCUUUAGUCCGCGAUGUCCGUGGAAUUCAUUAAAUAUCAGGAAUUCCAGUGGACACAAAUAUUCAGAAUAGCACAUUAGAAUUAAGUACUUUCAGAAUUUCCAAAUUUUUUGUUGAGUUUCAAGUGAAUGUUCCGAUAUUUUGGCCGAAUUGAGAGGUG
rnacentral:lncRNA from 1 species